rnacentral:piRNA from 1 species
UGAGUCUGGAAUUGUGGAUGGAAGCU